GUCUAUUUACAAAAGCUCUAUUUAUACUAACAAUUAUAAUCGUCCCAGGCUUACUCAUGCAUAUAUAAUUAAUCAUGACAUCUGCUAUGAGACUGAUUUUAUGUAACUCCUCCAAUGUCUCAACAAGCAUUCACGUUGCUCCAAUGACGUGAAAAUCUUAGUUUAACGUUGCAUUCAGAAUGACAACUUUAAGGUACCCCUGAGACCACCAUGCAAUUAUUCAAACUUUUUGUUUUGCAUGAAAAGUUUCUUUGUUUCGUUUUUCAGUUCGCGUCAUGUUUUCUAAAUCAGUCUAGUAUACGUCAUAUGAUAACAACAACAACAACUGCAAGCAAUAUUUGUCAUUUUUAAAACAACGUUAAAUCUAAAAUGCAAGUGCAUGUACAAGAAUAGUUAUCACAAGUUUCUCAAAGUAAGGAUUGCAUAAUUGCAUUCAGAAAAAUUACUUAAAGAAUGUUUU